rnacentral:rRNA from 1 species
AUUGAACGCUGGCGGCAUGCCUUACACAUGCAAGUCGAACGGUAACGGGCCUUCGGGUGCCGACGAGUGGCGAACGGGUGAGUAAUACAUCGGAACGUGCCCGAUCGUGGGGGAUAACGAGGCGAAAGCUUUGCUAAUACCGCAUACGAUCUACGGAUGAAAGCAGGGGACCGCAAGGCCUUGCGCGGACGGAGCGGCCGAUGGCAGAUUAGGUAGUUGGUGGGAUAAAAGCUUACCAAGCCGACGAUCUGUAGCUGGUCUGAGAGGAUGAUCAGCCACACUGGGACUGAGACACGGCCCAGACUCCUACGGGAGGCAGCAGUGGGGAAUUUUGGACAAUGGGCGCAAGCCUGAUCCAGCCACGCCGCGUGCAGGAUGAAGGCCUUCGGGUUGUAAACUGCUUUUGUACGGAACGAAAAGCCUUCUUUUAAUACAGGAGGGUCAUGACGGUACCGUAAGAAUAAGCACCGGCUAACUACGUG